UGGGAAUUGAUUUCUCACUUUCUGUCUGUCUUUCUGAAUCAUUCCCCUUCAGAACAGAAAAGGAGAUCUGAAGUAGAAGAUGUCAAUAACCACUUCUCUGAGCUGCCUUUGGCUUUCCAGCCCGACUUUAAUUCUCAUCUUUAUGUACAAAAACAAGGACACGCACAAUUUCAAGGAGGAGCCUAUUAAAAACAACAUGACAACAACAGAACUGGGAGAACAGUGGGACCUUAUCUAACAACAGACCCUCCAGAGGUUUAGAUGAAGUCCAAGGAGAAGGUUCUUCGAGAGGAGAAAAGGAGGAAGCAGUUAAUGUCUUUGAGAUGUUGGGAAAACAAACACCACUAAGAUGUGAGGGAACCUCCUUGUGAUUUCUCACAACACUACUGUGUGUGGACCAGUGCUCCUCCGUGCCCCAUGAGGAAACAGACAACAGAGGACUGUCAGUCAGCCAAGUACGCUCG